rnacentral:rRNA from 1 species
GUUGUAUAGUUAAGUGACUAAGCGUACACGGUGGAUGCCUUGGCAAUCAGAGGCGAAGAAGGACGUGCUAAUCUGCGAAAAGCGUGGGGGAGUUGAUAAGAAGCGUAAAUCCCACGAUGUCCGAAUGGGGAAACCCGAUAGAUGAAGAAUCUAUCAUCCUUAUCUGAAUGUAUAGGAUAAGGAGGCAAACCAGGAGAACUGAAACAUCUCAGUACCCUGAGGAAAAGAAAUCAACCGAGAUUCUGCGAGUAGCGGCGAGCGAAAGUGGAGGAGCCGUUAGAGAUAGCGAGAUGGAAAGGAGAAUGAGUUGGGAAGCUCAAUCGAAGAGGGUGAUAAUCCCGUAUCCGAAAGUCAUGUUGUGGUACUAAGCUAACAAGAAGUAGGGCGAGACACGAGGAAUCUUGUCUGAAGAUGGGGGGACCAUCCUCCAAGGCUAAAUACUCCUGAUUGACCGAUAGUGAACCAGUACCGUGAGGGAAAGGCGAAAAGAACCCCGGGAGGGGAGUGAAAGAGAACCUGAAACCGUGUACGUACAAGCAGUGGGAGCGUGGAGAAAUCUAUGUGACUGCGUACCUUUUGUAUAAUGGGUCAGCGAGUUAUAUUUUGUAGCGAGGUUAACUGAAUAAGGAAGCCGAAGGGAAACCGAGUCUUAACUGGGCGGCAAGUUGCAAGGUAUAGACCCGAAACCCGGUGAUCUAGCCAUGGUCAGGUUGAAGGUUGGGUAACACUAACUGGAG